rnacentral:rRNA from 1 species
AUCUGAAAGACCUUAUGCUUUUGGAGCGGCCGAUGUCUGAUUAGCUAGUUGGUAGGGUAAUGGCUUACCAAGGCGACGAUCAGUAGUUGGUCUGAGAGGACGACCAGCCACACUGGGACUGAGACACGGCCCAGACUCUACGGGAGGCAGCAGUGGGGAAUUUUGGACAAUGGGCGCAAGCCUGAUCCAGCAAUGCCGCGUGAGUGAAGAAGGCCUUCGGGUUGUAAAGCUCUUUCAGUUGAGAAGAAAAAGUCGUGACUAAUAAUCAUGAUUCAUGACGGUAUCAACAGAAGAAGCACCGGCUAACUACGUGCCAGCAGCCGCGGUAAUACGUAGGGUGCAAGCGUUAAUCGGAAUUACUGGGCGUAAAGGGUGCGCAGGCGGUUCUGUAAGUCAGAUGUGAAAUCCCCGGGCUUAACCUGGGAACUGCGUUUGANAACUACAA